rnacentral:tRNA from 1 species
AGCAGCUAAGCAUUUGGCUGUUAACCAAAGGACCGGUGGUUUGAACCCACCAGCUGCUU